UCACUUCUGGAUGGACCUGCGGUGCAUUAGCUCGUUGGUGGGGUAAUGGCCUACCAAGGCGAUGAUGCAUAGCCGAGUUGAGAGACUGAUCGGCCACAAUGGGACUGAGACACGGCCCAUACUCCUACGGGAGGCAGCAGUAGGGAAUCCUCCACAAUGGGCGCAAGCCUGAUGGAGCAACACCGCGUGAGUGAAGAAGGGUUUCGGCUCGUAAAGCUCUGUUGUUAAAGAAGAACACGUAUGAGAGUAACUGUUCAUACGUUGACGGUAUUUAACCAGAAAGGAACGGCUAAAUACGUGCCAGCAGCCGCGGUAAUACGUAUGUUCCAAGCGUUAUCCGGAUUUACUGGGCGUAAAGCGAGCGCAGACGGUUAUUUAAGUCUGAAGUGAAAGCCCUCAGCUCAACUGAGGAAUUGCUUUGGAAACUGGAUGACUUGAGUGCAGUAGAGGAAAGUGGAACUCCAUGUGUAGCGGUGAAAUGCGUAGAUAU
rnacentral:rRNA from 1 species